rnacentral:lncRNA from 1 species
CUGGAGUCAUACAUACCCAACCGUUCAAAUUGUUCUGUGUUCAGUUAGCCAUAUGUGUUAUUUGUUUGUUGUGAGAAAUGAUUAUUUAGUCUUUUUACUUAUGCUGGGCAGUAGAGUAAAGAUGCAGCCACUUGCUGUAAGGUGACCAGUAUGAUAAGUGGUUUGGGGAAGAAAGCUUCAACUCCCACAGUUCCCACUACCACCUCUAUCUAAACAGUGUCCUAGUCAUCAUGGCUCAGCCUAGCCUGCAGUUCUGAAUUUCUUUCUUACCUGAUCCAUUUUAAUGUGGACACUUAAGUCCUUGAAUAGACAAAGGGAUUUAAUGAAUGAGGCCUGAAAUUUUCUUUUCAAAGAUAAGAUUUUAUACAAAGUAACUUAAAAUAGGAAAAAGCUAAGUUUUCUGGUAAAUAUGAACCACAAAGAGCCAUGACUGUUGAACUUGCACACAUCAUCAUUAGUAUGUUGUGAUUUUUACAUGUUUUGUUGACCACUUGCUGUGAUUUUUAAAUUUUUUUAAAUUUCAGUUUGAAGUGGUAUUAAGGAAGAACUACUUAAUUGUACAUUUAUUUUUCAUCAGACAAACAUUAUAUCUGAACUAAGCAAAUGGAGACUUAAUUUUAUUGACUGGCACCAAAUGGAAAUGAAAAAAGAGAAGGAAAAACAUGCAGCACAUGUAAAGCAACUGUGCAGCCAGAUCAAUGACUUGAAGGAGCUGCAGAAAGCCUUUGAAAUUUCCAUUAGGAGAAAAGAUGAGUUAUCUGGUGCUUUGGAAAAUGCAAAAGCCAAGAUUCAGAAAAUGCAAAAAGAGAAAGAACACUUUGAAGAUUCCAUGAAGAAAGCAUUCAUGAGGGGGUAUGUGCAUUAAAUCUAGAAGUCAUGACUAUAUUUCAGAACAGAAAUGAUGC